UGUUGACAUUAUAGCUGCGCAGGCACUUUGUUGACUCUAGAGAACCUCGGGCCAAUCGCACAUCCCCACGACGGCGACUUUGAAUUCGGAUGUCAUCCAUAUGAACUUUCGGUGCCAGUUUCUGCACCUACCAUAGUGACCACGGGUAACGGGGAAUCAGGGUUCCAUUCCAUACAGGGACCCUGAGAAAUGGCUACCACAUGCAAGGAAGGCAGCAGGCACGCAAAUGACCCACUCCUGACGCGGGAAGGUAGUGACGACA